AUCGCUUCUUGGACUUUUGGCUAAGAUCAAGUGUAGUAUCUGUUCUUAUCAGUAUAUUUAAGAUUUUUUUUUUCUAUUUAAG
rnacentral:snRNA from 2 species